UACGUAGGUGGCAAGCGAUACUCGGAAUCACUAGGCGUAAAGCGCAGGUAGGCGGUUUGGUAAGUCUUUUGUGAAAGCUCCCGGCUUAACUGGGAGAGGCCAAGGGAAACUACCGGACUAGAGUGUGGCAGAGGAAGCUGGAAUUCCCGGUGUAGCGGUGGAAAUGACGUAGAUAUCGGGAAGGAACACCUAUGGCGAAAGCAGGCUUC
rnacentral:rRNA from 1 species